CUUUUUCAAGCAUUAGUUUCAGUCGUGUCCGACCAGAGACAACACCGCUUCCUUUUUCGGACCGUGAUAUUCAAGAUGAAAGCCACGUCGAAGUCCUGCGCACCAACUUGACUAAUUAAUUCAAUUCAAGAAAUACAAAUGAAUGCAGCAGCUUUUUACGCAAAGCUAGCACACCGGGCCAAACCACCUCCUGUUGAGAGUGCUCUCAGUGAGAGUGAGGGCAGCGAUGAGGAGUACAAUCCUAAUAAAGCAAGUGAAGGUGAUGAAAGCAGCAGCAAUGACUCUACAGUGGACAUUAGCAGCAGUGAGGAAGAUGAUGAUGAUCCGCCUCAUCCACCUCCAACCACCAGUGCUGCACCUGCAAGAGCUACAUCAAGGGCAGAUUGAGCCUAAAGCAAUAUAUCAAAAAAAAAGCCAUACAAAUUGGGAUACAAGAUUUUUGUACUGUGCGACACAAGAGGUCUGGUGUACUCAUUUGACAUAUUCACAGGGAAAAUAGAUCCGGUACCAGGCCAACCAGACAUAGGAGCCAGUGCUAACAUUGUGCUCAAGCUUGCACAAGUCAUUCAUCCUGCUGUUCUUUGAUAACUGGUUCUCAUCUGUAGAUCUGUUUGUUGCUCUUGCAAAAAAGGGCAUACCUGCACUUGGGACCGUGCAGCACAAUCGCCUGCGUGGGUGCUGUUUCAGUGCAGACUCAUAGAUGAAGAAGAAGCGAAGAGGGACAUUUGAAGAGCAAGAGGCUCUUGUGGACAAUGUCUGCAUAAGAGCAGUCAAAUGGUUUGACAAUAGAGGGGUGAUUGUUGCCAGCACAUUUGCCAGUGCCCUGCCUGUUAUGAUAAAAAUCAUCUUUUAUUCAUUUAUUUACAUCAUAUGUCUUCUAGUCUGAUUAAAAAUGUGAUGUACAUCUGUGUUUAAACAAAAACAAUAAUUGUUUUUCAGAAUUUCACAAGCAGUGAAAAAAGA